UAAAAUUAUAACAUACUGCGCGUUUUGUUAUUUCACUCUCUGUUAUUUUUGUUCUUUUUCACGUUAGGAUUCUCACUGCUACGAUUUUCGCUACUUCUAAGGCGUUCUCCUUCCACCUCUGUUAGAUCUACGACGUUUCCUCCUUCUAUUAAUUCGUUGUUAGCUGUUCGAUUUUGACACCAUAGGUAUUUUUCUAAUCUUCAUAUUACUUGGUUUCUCUUCUGACGUUCGCUAUUGUUCAUUUUUGGUUUCAUUUUUCUUGGUUCAUACAUUUAUUGAGUAUUCUGAUGAAUUCCGGAAGUCAAAGGGUCUCAUCUUGGUUACUUCGGAUGUAUCUGCACGUGGAGUUGAUUAUCCAGAUGUUACUCUUGUUGUACAGGUUGGUCUACCGGCUGAUAGAGAACAAUAUAUACAUCGACUAGGUAGAACGGGGCGAAGAGGAAAAGAAGGGCAGGGCAUACUGCUACUAGCUCCUUGGGAAGAGUUCUUUUUAGCUACUGCAAAAGAUUUACCUAUUGGGAAAGCUCCGGUCCCUUCAGUUGAUCCUGACACUAAGAAAAAGGUGGAAAGGGCUCUAUCCAAUGUGGAGAUGAAAAAUAAAGAAGCAGCAUAUCAGGCAUGGCUUGGUUACUACAACUCUAACAAGAAAGUGGGGAAAGAUAAGUAUAGGUUAGUGGAGCUUGCAAAUGAGUUCAGUCGAUGCAUGGGGCUUGAUAGCCCUCCAGCUAUUCCUAAGCUUGUCCUUGGCAAGAUGGGUCUUAAAAAUAUCCCUGGUUUACGUUCCAAAUAGGUUUCCAUUCAAUUUCUGAUAACAGUCUUGUGAAAGAGAGAAAUGUUCUUGAAUUGAAAUGCCCCCACUUAUAGUUUGAUUUUAAGACUUGAAACUUCUAAAUUUCAACUAUCAUAGUAAUUUUUUCUGUAUAUUUUGUACUUCUAGAUGAAUUAUCAUUUAACAA